rnacentral:rRNA from 1 species
UAGGGAAUCUUCGGCAAUGGACGGAAGUCUGACCGAGCAACGCCGCGUGAGUGAAGAAGGUUUUCGGAUCGUAAAGCUCUGUUGUUAGAGAAGAACGUUGGUAGGAGUGGAAAAUCUACCAAGUGACGGUAACUAACCAGAAAGGGACGGCUAACUACGUGCCAGCAGCCGCGGUAAUACGUAGGUCCCGAGCGGUGUCCGGAUUUAUUGGGCGUAAAGCGAGCGCAGGCGGUUCUUUAAGUCUGAAGUUAAAGGCAGUGGCUUAACCAUUGUACGGUUUGGAAACUGGAGGACUUGAGUGCAGAAGGGGAGAGGGGAAUUCCAUGUGUAGCGGUGAAAUGCGGAGAUAUAUGGAGGAACACCGGUGGCGAAAGCGGCUCUCUGGUCUGUAACUGACGCUGAGGCUCGAAAGCGUGGGGAGAAAACAGG